rnacentral:rRNA from 1 species
UACAGAGGGUGCAAGCGUUGUUCGGAAUUAUUGGGCGUAAAGGGCGCGUAGGCGGCCGGACAAGUCGGGUGUGAAAUCCCUCGGCUCAACCGAGGAACUGCAUUCGAUACUGUCUGGCUCGAGUCCGGGAGGGGAUGGUGGAAUUCCCAGUGUAGCGGUGAAAUGCGUAGAUAUUGGGAAGAACACCGGUGGCGAAGGCGACCAUCUGGACCGGAACUGACGCUGAGGCGCGAAAGCCAGGGGAGCGAAUGGG